UACGUAGGGGGCAAGCGUUGUCCGGAUUUAUUGGGCGUAAAGAGCGUGUAGGCGGCCUGAAAGGUCAGCUGUGAAAACUCGAGGCUCAACCUCGAGACGUCGGUUGAAACCAUCUGGCUAGAGUCCGGAAGAGGAGAGUGGAAUUCCCGGUGUAGCGGUGAAAUGCGCAGAUAUCGGGAAGAACACCCGUGGCGAAGGCGGCUCUCUGGGACGGUACUGACGCUGAGACGCGAAAGCGUGGGGAGCCGAACGAGGA
rnacentral:rRNA from 1 species